CUUGACACUGAACAUUGAGCCUUGAUGUGUAGGAUAGGUGGGAGGCUUUGAAGCGUGGACGCCAGUCUGCGUGGAGCCAACCUUGAAAUACCACCCUUUAAUGUUUGAUGUUCUAACGUGGGCCCCUGACCGGGGUUGCGGACAGUGUCUGGUGGGUAGUUUGACUGGGGCGGUCUCCUCCCAAAGCGUAACGGAGGAGCACGAAGGUUAGCUAAUCCUGGUCGGACAUCAGGAGGUUAGUGCAAUGGCAUAAGCUA
rnacentral:rRNA from 1 species